UCAAACUCUUCCCCCACCAUUUUUCUCUUUGUCAAUUUCUUCCGACUUUCCCCGACCCUUCUUCUAUUUAUUGCUUAAAAAAUACAAAAUGGCAGUUAAGUUUGUCUCGUUGUCAGGUGUGGAAGGGCAUCUACGUGCGCCGUGUAAUUUUAAAGAUAUUACUUUGUUAUGAGUGAUGCCAGUGAAAGUGUGUAGACGACUAGACAGGGCGUGCCCGGGUGCCAAUCACAGUUUCUCGGACAUCUGUACCCGACUGAUUUCCUUUCCGUGACUUAGUUUGUAGGCCUACAAGCAAUAAAAUAUGCAGUUCUCUGGAGUGCAGCUUACGGGAUUGUGCAAGAAUAUCCCAUCAAUUAUGAUUGCAUUUGAGGCCCUUGAAUAAAAAUCAAACAAGAAAAUGGAUUCACUAAAUGCGCAAAGUAUGUAGAUUCAAGAUCCACUCUAGUAGUCGGGAUCACGAUAAAUUUUAAUACUGUAAACAAUUAGCCAUUUUCUCUCAUUCAUGGUAGUAUAACGGGUAUCUAAAAAUCA